AACACCAUGUCAACACUUGAACAACACAAGACGAACAACGUAAAUAAUAAUAUUAUAGGUAUAUCAAGUUAUAUGUUUACGUUUAAAUAAAUACGGGACGUGCAACGUACAUAAUAAAUAUAAUGAUUUUAUUAAUAUUAUCGACUAGAUCAGGCUACUACAUUCAUCAUGGAAUAAUGUUAUA